GACGAACGCUGGCGGCGUGCUUAACACAUGCAAGUCGAGCGGUAAGGCCCUUUCGGGGGUACACGAGCGGCGAACGGGUGAGUAACACGUGGGUGACCUGCCCUCAGCUCUGGGAUAAGCCUGGGAAACCGGGUCUAAUACUGGAUAUGACUCCAUGACGCAUGUUGUGGGGUGGAAAGCCUUGUGCGGCUGAGGAUGGGCCCGCGGCCUAUCAGCUUGUUGGUGGGGGGAUGGCCUACCAAGGCGACGACGGGUAGCCGGCCUGAGAGGGCGGACCGGCCACACGUGGGACUGAGAC
rnacentral:rRNA from 1 species